UCCCUGGAGGACUAGUGUUUAGGCCUCGGCACUCUCACCGCUGGGCCCGGGUUCAAUUCCUGACCAGGGAA
rnacentral:tRNA from 1 species